UACGUAGGGGGCAAGCGUUGUUCGGAAUUACUGGGCGUAAAGGGCGCGUAGGCGGCAUGGCAAGUCGGGAGUGAAAGGCCUGGGCUCAACCGAGGAACUGCUUUCGAGACUGCCAAGCUAGAGUGCGGAAGGGGCAUCUGGAAUUCCCAGUGUAGCGGUGAAAUGCGUAGAUAUUGGGAAGAACACCUGAGGCGAAGGCGGGAUGCUGGGCCGACACUGACGCUGAGGCGCGAAGGCUAGGGGAGCGAACGGG
rnacentral:rRNA from 1 species